GACGAACGCUGGCGGCGUGCUUAACACAUGCAAGUCGAACGGAAAGGCCCUGCUUUUGUGGGGUGCUCGAGUGGCGAACGGGUGAGUAACACGUGAGUAACCUGCCCUUGACUUUGGGAUAACUUCAGGAAACUGGGGCUAAUACCGGAUAGGAGCUCCUGCCGCAUGGUGGGGGUUGGAAAGUUUCGGCGGUGGGGGAUGGACUCGCGGCUUUUCAGCUUGUUGGUGGGGUUGUGGUUUACCAAGGCUAUGACGGAUAGCCAGCCUGGGAGGGUGACCGGCCACAUUGGAAGUGAGAUACGGCCCAGAGUCCUACGGGUGACAGCAGUGGAGAAUAUUGCACGAUGGGCCGAAGCCUGAUACAGCAGCGCCGCAUGCGAAAUAACGGCCUUCGGGUUAUAAACCGCUUUCGCCUGAAACGAAGCGUGAGUGACGGUAACGGGUAAAGAAGCACCGGCUAACUACGUG
rnacentral:rRNA from 1 species